GACGAACGCUGGCGGCGUGCUUAACACAUGCAAGUCGAGCGGUAAGGCCCUUUCGGGGGUACGACGAGCGGCGAACGGGUGAGUAACACGUGGGUGACCUGCCUUUAGCUCUGGGGUAAGGCCUGGGAAACUGGGUCUAAUACCGGAUAUGACUCCAUGACGCAUGUUGUGGGGUGGAAAGCCUUGUGCGGCUAGGGAUGGGCCUGCGGCCUAUCAGCUUGUUGGUGGGGCGAUGGCCUACCAAGGCGACGACGGGUAGCCGGCCUGAGAGGGCGACCGGCCACACUGGGACUGAGACACGGCCCAGACUCCUACGGGAGGCAGCAGUGGGGAAUCUUGCGCAAUGGGCGAAAGCCUGACGCAGCGACGCCGCGUGGGGAUGACGGCCU
rnacentral:rRNA from 1 species